rnacentral:lncRNA from 1 species
UGGUAAAUAAAUACAGUGUUUUAUCCCAAAGCUGUACAUUGUUUCAAAAUCAUCUUGGAGACCGGUGUUUUUAACAUUGUGACUGCGUAUGGUACAGACUCUACAAUGAAAAGCCAGCUUGAUUGGACAAGGCGGUACAAGAUCAUUGGAGGAAUUGCUAGAGGGAUUCUUUAUCUUCAUCAAGAUUCACGACUCACAAUCAUACAUCGUGACCUCAAAGCGGGUAACGUCCUCUUGGAUGAUGAUAUGAACCCAAAAGUUGCAGAUUUUGGAAUGGCACGGAUUUUCAAAAUGGACCAAACGGAAGCCAAUACGAGAAGAGUAGUAGGAACCUAGUAAGUUUUUCUCUUACCAUUCAUUGCAUCUGUAGACUGUAAUAUGCUUCUAUUAACUUAACACUUAAUAUUGUGACAGUGGCUAUAUGUCUCCGGAAUAUGCUAUGUAUGGCAAAUUCUCCAUGAAAUCAGAUGUAUACAGCUUUGGGAUCUUAGUUCUUGAAAUUAUAAGCGGCAAGAAAAACAUUGGUACCUAUCAAAUGGAUAGUAGCGAGGGCAACUUGGUUACAUAUGUGAGUGUAUACAAAGUUAUAUAAACUUACAAACUCCUCUGUUUUAUAUGAAAAAGACUAAAGUUUUGAUUUCUGUAAAAUGUUUCACAGAUUUGGAGAGAAUGGAAUAAUGAGUCACCAAUGGAGAUCGUGGAUCCAUCCUUUCAAGAUAGCUAUAGAAUAAACGAAAUUACCAGAUGCAUCCAUAUUGCUUUACUAUGUGUUCAAGAAGAAGCUGAAGAUCGUCCAACCAUGUCAACGGUCGUCCAGAUGCUCACUACUAGCUCAAUCGCUCUCGCUCCUCCUCGGCCACCUGGAUGUUUCUUUCAGACCAAGCAUGAAAAAUCUGGUCCAUCGAUGGGUUCGUCUGCUCUGUGUUCCAUUGAUGAUGCUUCGAUUACUCAUGUAACUCCUCGCUAAAGACGAAACUGUUUCACAGAGAUUAUUAUUAAGCCACGAGAAUGAAACAAGAUUCUUCUUAGUUAACCUGCUUCCAUUAUUUUUAAUUUUACUUUUUAUUUCCCUUCAAAUAAGUGUAAGAUACUCUUAUUUACAUGAGGACAAAAGAGUGCAGAGACUAGUGGCCUAAUUGUUGAUUCUUGGCGCUAGGUUUGUUUUGUUGGAACACUAGAUGUGUUGUGUAGGUACGAUCUUGUGUAGAAUCUAAGGAAAUUGUGAGAAAAAGUAGUUAUGUCACAUGCGUCAGUUCCUUGUUUCCCAGAAUAACUCUAAAAAUCUAAUACACACCACACAGUUGUAAACUCAACAAGGUAAAGUACUAAAACUGGAAGUCAACGACUAGUGUAGAAGUCAACCUUCCAUAAAAGAGUGUGAAGUAUCCGAUAAAUCAACUAGGGUUGUGAAAUUACUGUUUUAAAUUAUAACUGUUCAUUUGUUGCUUGUCUGGUAAGGAAGUAAAACAGUUGUUGUCUUAAUCAUCCAAAGUCUACGCAAAAUAAUCUUGAACCUAUCAAAUAUUCAACUUCAGUGUUUAUCUUAUUCUGGAAAUAGAUUGAUAGAGAACAAUAACUUUAUUUUAAAUAGUUGAUUCAUUGUUAUUCAUUUUAAUAACAAAACAAGUUGAUGUUACUCGUCUAGUUGACCUUGACUUGCAAGAUAUUUUAUUAUUUUACAAAAAAAACAGAGUUUGAACCAGCUAGCUGGGUUUCACAUUCUAUUCAUCGUUCAUACACCAAUCAAAAGAAAGAAGAAAAACAGAGGAAAGGUGAAGAAAGGAGAUAAUGUCUGCUUAUGCCUUAUUAAAAUCUCUCUUCCUUCUCACCUUCUUCAUUGUAAGUUUGAGAGCUUCUGCUCAACUACAAGAUCCUACUUACGUCGGCCAUGUUUGCACUAACAGGAUAUCAAGAAACUCCACUUACUUCAAAAAUCUCGAAGUUCUGUUGUCCUCUCUUUCUUCUAACAACGCUUACUUCUCUUUGGGAUCUCAUAGUCUCACAAAGGGUCAAAACCCUGACAUGGUGUUCGGUCUUUAUCUCUGCAGAGGAGAUCUCUCGCCGGAAUUUUGUCGUGAGUGCGUCGUCUUUGCUGCUAUAGACAGUGGGACUCGAUGUCCAGGUGGGAAAGAGUUCUUGAUUCAGUAUGACGAGUGCAUGCUUGGAUACUCAGACAGGAAUUUCAUGGAAACUGUAACCACAGCUACAAUAAUCACUUGGAACACUCAGAAUGUUACCCCGGACCAAUCUGUCCGGUUUAAUGAUGCAGUGGCUUCUCUGAUGAAAAAGUCUGCAGAGGAAGCUGCUAAUAGCAACACAAGCAAGAAAUUCGCGGUCGGGAAGUCAGAGUUCACUUCGUCAAUGUCUCUUUAUGCAUUGGUUCAGUGCAAUAUUGAUCUGAGUAGUGAAGACUGCUUAAGCUGUCUUCAAAAAUCCAUCCAAAAAUUAUAUUUCAACAAACUCGGAGGAAGGUUUCUUGUCCCGAGUUGUAACUCGAGGUACGAGAUUUAUCCUUUUUACAACGAAACUGUAGAGGGAACUGUUCUUCCUCCCCCAGAUACGGCUCCUCCUCUGCCACCGGUUUCAGCUCCUCCAUUGCCGCCUGGUAAGAGUUUUACAUGAUAGUUAUUUUGGUUUGAGACAUUCACAAUUCUGGAAGUUAUGUGUCUAUGUCUAAUCUAAGACUUAUUCAGGAAAGGGGAAGAAAUCAACAGUGAUAAUCAUAGCAAUUGCUGUGCCGGUCGCUAUCUCUGUUCUUCUCUUUGUAGCUGUUUUUAGCUUCUAUAUAAGAAAGAGAAAGAAGAAGCCUUAUGAUACAGGAGCUGCAAAUGAUGGUAAAGAUUCUAAAAUCUGUGUCUUUGGUGGUUAAUUUUUUUAAAAAACCAUUCAUUAUUUUGCAGAAGGAGAUGAUGACAUUACAACUGCAGGGUCACUUCAGUUUGAUUUAAAGGUUAUUGAAGCUGCGACAGAUAAGUUUUCGAUAUUUAAUAAACUCGGUCAAGGUGGAUUUGGACAAGUUUACAAGGUAUUAUGCUAGUUCAUUGAGCUUCCUAAUUAGUUUCAUUAUUGAUUCAACUAAGGUGAUGGCUCUGUUUAAUUCACAAUCUUUUCAGGGAAUACUUCCUAAUGGAGUACAAGUUGCGGUAAAGAGACUAUCAAAAACAUCAGGACAAGGUGAAAAAGAGUUCAAGAACGAAGUUGUUGUUGUGGCAAAGCUUCAACAUAGAAAUCUUGUCAAGCUUCUUGGAUUUUGUUUGGAGAGAGAAGAGAAAAUACUUGUCUAUGAGUUUGUGCCUAAUAAAAGCCUUGAUUAUUUUUUGUUUGGUAAGUUAGACCAAUGCUUAGGAAAUAUAUUUCUAUCUUUGAGCUCAUGUUUUAGACUUUAAUUUCUAAUUAAAUGGGAUGUGCAGACUCUAAUAUGCAGACCCAGCUGGAUUGGACUACACGGUAUAAGAUCAUAGGAGGAAUUGCUAGAGGAAUUCUGUAUCUCCAUCAAGAUUCACGACUCACGAUCAUACAUCGAGACCUCAAAGCGGGUAACAUCCUCUUGGAUGCCGAUAUGAACCCGAAAGUUGCAGAUUUUGGAAUGGCGAGGAUUUUCGAAAUGGACCAAACAGAAGACAAU